rnacentral:rRNA from 1 species
AAUUGGAGGGCAAGUCUGGUGCCAGCAGCCGCGGUAAUUCCAGCUCCAAUAGCGUAUAUUAAAGUUGCUGCAGUUAAAAAGCUCGUAGUUGAAUUUCGGGAUCAAUAUUUCGGUCAUGCCGUUGGUAUGCACUGUUAUCAUUGAUUUCUCACCUUCUAAAGAACCGUAAUGCCAUUAAUUUGGUGUUACGGGGAAUUAGGACUGUUACCUUGAAAAAAUUAGAGUGUUUAAAGCAGGCUCACGCUUGAAUACAUUAGCAUGGAAUAAUGAAAUAGGACAUCCGAUUCUAUUUUGUUGGUUUCUAGGAUCGAUGUAAUGAUUAAUAGGGAUAGUUGGGGGCAUUAGUAUUCAAUUGUCAGAGGUGAAAUUCUUGGAUUUAUUGAAGACUAACUACUGCGAAAGCAUUUGCCAAGGAUGUUUUCAUUAAUCAAGAACGAAAGUUAGGGGAUCGAAGACGAUCAGAUACCGUCGUAGUCUUAACCAUAAACUAUGCCGACUAGGGAUCGGAUGAUGUUAAUUUUUUAAUGACUCAUUCGGCGCCUUACGGGAAACCAAAGUGU